AGGGCACCACCAGGAGUGGAGCCUGCGGCUUAAUUUGACUCAACACGGGGAAACUUACCCGGCCUGGACACUGGAAGGAUUGACAGAUUGAGAGCUCUUUCUUGAUUCAGUGGGUGGUGGUGCAUGGCCGUUCUUAGUUGGUGGAGCGAUUUGUCUGGUUAAUUCCGAUAACGAACGAGACUCUAGCCUAUUAAAUAGGCUCCCGGCUUUUAAACGCCGGGAGGACUUCUUAGAGGGACAGGUGGCGGUUCAGCCGCACGAAAGAGAGCAAUAACAGGUCUGUGAUGCCCUUUGUUGUCCGGGGCCGCACGCGCGCUACACUGAAGAGAUCAGCGUGCUUUAUGUUCCUGCUCCGACCGGAGUGGGGAACCCAGUGAACCUUCUUCGUGAUUGGGAUGGAAGAUUGUAAUUAUUCUUCUUGAACGAGGAAUUCCCAGUAAAUGCGAGUCAUAAGCUCGCGUUGAUUACGUCCCUGCCCUUUGUACACACCGCCCGUCGCUACUACCGAUUGAACGAUUU
rnacentral:rRNA from 1 species